AUAUAACCAAAUUAAUUAUCAUAAGUCAUAUCAACCACUAUUAAUUCAAUAAAACAAGCAAUCAAACAUUAAAAAAGUGAAGACAAAUCAACAUCAGUUCUCCAACCAACAACAUCACAAUAUUUGUAAAUGAAAACAGUACAACAUCACCACAAAAUGGGGAAAAAAGUACUUCAAGCCUCGAGUUUAACAUGGUACUUCAACAUAACAACAAUCACAUAUUAAAACAACAGUCACAUCAAAGUAGUUCCAAGAUAGGUCCUCUCCUUACUUCUGACAUCUUCACAAAUGACACCCUGAAAUCGGGAUCCUGAAAGCCUUUAUUGCUUUCAUGUAAACCUCAUUGGACACCCCUUCCAUAUUGUUUAAAAUGUCCAAGCAAGUAACAUUUGAAUAAGGAUCUGGACUAGUAACUUUAUUAACUGAUUGACAACUACCUUUUCCUUUGAUCUUUGCAAGCUUUUCUUUUAGGUAAAGUGUUCUUAGUUCAAUUUCUUCAUUCCUCAAACUAACUGUAGAUGACCACUGUGCCAUACAGGCCUCGAUUUUAUCACUUUUACUGACCUUAGGUUCCUUACGUCGUCGUCCAUCCAAUGUACCAAUUUCGUUACGUGGACGAUUAUUUGAAACCACAUAGACUUCAUCAUCAUUUUCCGCAGUCACAUGUACUCCUCUAUUCAAAAAAUCAUCUUCUAGCUACCUUUCUUCCUCUGAUGUGUUUGGACGUUGGGUGGAGGCACUGCCUAAUCCUCCAGUAGCUAUAGUCCCGCUGAAUAUCUCCUCAAGAGUAUGGUAGUGCUUACAUCCUUCCUUCUUGAACAACUUGUAAUCCGACUUGUUAAUCUAACUUCGAAAAAAGAAACC
rnacentral:lncRNA from 1 species